UCACCAGGGCCAAGUAGAGGGGCAGGAUCACCUUCCUUGGACUGCUGGCAAUGCUCUUCUGAAUGCAGCCCAGGAUGCCACAGGCCUUGGUCACCAAGAGAUCUUGUAUUAGGACCCCUACCUCCCUCUCCGCAGAGCUGCUUCCCAGCAGCUUGGGUGUGACUGCUAAGUAAGAAUAUAGAGUGGUUCACUCACCUCAGAGUUACAUUAUUUCAUAUGCUUAUGUUCAGACAGCUUCAGCUGUAUAGUAGAUGAGAAGUGAAUAACAUCCUACAGAAUCAGAGAAUCACAGAAUCACAGAAUCACAGAAUCAAUUAGGUUGGAAAAGACCUCAAAUCCAGAUUAUGACUGAACACCUGCACCUCAAUAAGUCUGGGGCACUCAGUGCCACACCCGGUACUUCCUUAAACACUUCCAGGGACAGGAAGAUUUUAAGGCUUACUCUCUGUUUGGAGUUACACAGAAAGAGUGGCUAUGGAUUAGACCUACUGCUACUACUAAUAAUUAUUAUGCUCAUGGAAAAUAACUACCCUCAGCAUUUGUAAAUAAACCUGUUCUGUUUAUUCAUUAGUAAUAAUGCAAAAGGAAAAG